UGGGGCGUUAGCUCAAUUGGUAGAGUGCGACAAUGGCAUUGUCGAGGUCAUCGGUUCGAUUCCGAUACGCUCCAU
rnacentral:tRNA from 1 species